rnacentral:rRNA from 1 species
AGAGUUUGAUCAUGGCUCAGGAUGAACGCUAGCGGCAGGCUUAAUACAUGCAAGUCGUGGGGCAGCAUGGUGUAGCAAUACACUGAUGGCGACCGGCAAACGGGUGCGGAACACGUACGCAACCUUCCUUUAACUGGAGAAUAGCCCGGGGAAACCCGGAUUAAUACUCCGUAACAUUAUGAAGUGGCAUCACUUUAUAAUUAUAGCUCCGGCGGUUAAAGAUGGGCGUGCGUCUGAUUAGGUAGUUGGCGGGGUAACGGCCCACCAAGCCUACGAUCAGUAACUGGUGUGAGAGCACGACCAGUCACACGGGCACUGAGACACGGGCCCGACUCCUACGGGAGGCAGCAGUAAGGAAUAUUGGUCAAUGGACGCAAGUCUGAACCAGCCAUGCCGCGUGGAGGAUGAAGGUCCUCUGGAUUGUAAACUUCUUUUAUUUGGGAAGAAACCACCGAUUUCUAUUGGUGUUGACGGUACCAGAUGAAUAAGCACCGGCUAACUCCGUGCCAGCAGCCGCGGUAAUACGGAGGGUGCAAGCGUUAUCCGGAUUCACUGGGUUUAAAGGGUGCGUAGGCGGGUUGGUAAGUCCGUGGUGAAAUCUCCAAGCUUAACUUGGAAACUGCCGUGGAUACUAUCAAUCUUGAAUAUCGUGGAGGUGAGCGGAAUAUGUCAUGUAGCGGUGAAAUGCUUAGAUAUGACAUAGAACACCCAUUGCGAAGGCAGCUCGCUACACGGUUAUUGACGCUGAGGCACGAAAGCGUGGGGAUCAAACAGGAUUAGAUACCCUAGUAGUCC